rnacentral:sRNA from 1 species
AUUCUAGAUCUAUAAAUAAUCAUAGUCACCGUGAAUGAUAGUGCCCUUUUUAUUCAAUGUAGUCAAGUCAAGAUAGUGGAACGUAAACUCGAAGCCUUCUAGACUAGAUCUAGCAUCUCUAGCUAGACUCUAACUUGUAGUUUGUAGAUCUUGGAAUUGGAUCGAAAUUCACCUUCC